rnacentral:rRNA from 1 species
UACGGAGGGUGCGAGCGUUGUUCGGAAUCACUGGGCGUAAAGGGCGUGUAGGCGGUCCGCUAAGUCUGAUGUGAAAGCCCGGGGCUUAACUUCGGGUCUGCAUUCGAUACGGGCAGGCUAGAGUUCGGUAGGGGAGAUCGGAAUUCCUGGUGUAGCGGUGAAAUGCGCAGAUAUCAGGAGGAACACCGGUGGCGAAGGCGGAUCUCUGGGCCGAUACUGACGCUGAGGAGCGAAAGCGUGGGGAGCGAACAGG